CCUUUUCUUACUGGUUUAUAAUAGUUCUUCUAUAUUAUUAUUAGCCCUUUGUCAUGAGGGUGGCAAGAUCUGGCAGUAGUGGACCAGAUAGAAGGCUGCUUCAGGAAUGAGCUUCCACGUCAUCACCACAAGAAUCAAAAGGGAGUCCCAGAGUGCCACGUGCUCCAGGUAAGGCUGCUCCGCCCUGGCCUCCACACCUCUGUCAUGGAGAAUGAAGAGGGGACCUCAGAACUCUCUGUGCUCCUGACAAUACCCUCACCCUCUUUCCCCCCACGACAUUCACAGUUUUGCCGUCAGAGUCUGCCUUGAGACCACCAUAUCCAGUGUCAUCAGGUCCGUUUCCCAAUUCACUUUUACCACCACAAGAAGCCCAAGACCCUCAGUGCAUCCUUCACCACACGGACUCUGAGCCCCAUAUGGCUCUGUACUAUCCCUUUAUUGAUCUCCUUUCCAACCUAUUCCCAACUUCUGAAACCCUUCUACUGUGCCCUCUGGACUUGCUACCAGUCAUCAGCAUACCCCUUCUAUUCUCAACUUCUUCUAUUAACAUUUCCCUCACCUCCUGAAAUUCGACUCUCCACUGAGGACAUUUCUUCCCAUAUAGUCCUUUCAAGUGGUGCUGGUUUUCUUUCCAACAUUCGCCGUACACUUGGGUAAGUGAAUUCCUUUAUUCUCAUUAUGGCUUCCACAGCAUUCUCCUGUCCUCCUCUCAGCUUAAAGUCUCGUCCCCACCCUUCCUUGUUACAGUCUUCUAUUGUUCCCCACCACCAUUCCUUGAUUUUAGCUUCUGGCUUUGUCAAGCUGCCAACAUUACUUCUGUCAUAAUUCUUGGUGUCACUAUCUCAUGUAUGAUACCUCCAUUGACCUCCUGUGGACCGGAACCUCUUUUCCUCCAAGGACCCGUUUUUUCCAUCUUAUCUUAGCCACCUUCCCCAUGGUUAGAACUUAGAUUUUGUUACUAGCAAUAACCAAAACCACUUCAUUACCUCAGUUUCAAGCACUGAAACUCUCCAGCCACUGCCUCUCUCCUUCCAGCUCACUCACUAUCUGUAGCACCCAAGUCUAAAAUUCUUUGGCAGCCAUCAAGACCUAAAACCCAAUUAUCCUACUACAUUUUCACCAUCCUUCCCAUGCUUCACAUUCUUCAUGCUCUAAUCCAGCUUAGAUCCCAUAAUUGAUUUUUAUCCUCACUUUCUAGUGCUCAUCUGUCUUCCUUUGUCAUACUUGCAUGGCCAAAUCCCAACAUCUGGUUAACCUGACUCUCCUCCCAUUCUGCAUCCACACACAAGCAACUGAAUGUGGCUGGAGAAAAAUA